GUGCCAGCCGCCGCGGUAAUACAGAGGUCCCGAGCGUUGUUCGGAUUCACUGGGCGUAAAGGGUGCGUAGGUGGUGAGGUAAGUCGGAUGUGAAAUCUCCGAGCUCAACUCGGAAAAUGCAUUGGAAACUACCUUGCUUGAGGAUUGGAGGGGGGACUGGAAUACUUGGUGUAGCAGUGAAAUGCGUAGAUAUCAAGUGGAACACCAGUGGCGAAGGCGAGUCCCUGGACAAAUCCUGACACUGAGGCACGAAAGCUAGGGGAGCAAACAGGAUUAGAAACCCGCGUAGUCC
rnacentral:rRNA from 1 species